rnacentral:rRNA from 1 species
UACGGAGGGUGCGAGCGUUGUCCGGAAUCACUGGGCGUAAAGGGCGCGUAGGCGGCCUGAUAAGUAGGGGGGUGAAAAUCCUGCGGCUUAACCGCAGGGCUGCCUUCUAAACUGUCGGGCUCGAGCACAGUAGAGGCAGGUGGAAUUCCCGGUGUAGCGGUGGAAUGCGUAGAGAUCGGGAAGAACAUCAGUGGCGAAGGCGGCCUGCUGGGCUGUUGCUGACGCUGAGGCGCGACAGCGUGGGGAGCAAACAGG